AUUGCACUCCAGCCUUGGCAACAAGAGCAAAACUCUGUAUCAAAAAAAAAAAAAAAAAAAAAUUAAAAAAAAUUAUGGAACUAGUGUUUUAUUUCUAAGCUUGCAGAUAUUUCUAGAAUUCCACUUAGUGUUACAUCUAAAUGUAUGGUGAUUAUUCGUUAAAUAAUAAGCAGGUCUGUAAACAUUUUAUUCUCUAACCUCUUUCCACAUUUGUAUGAGUAUAGAAAAACUGUGGUUGUGAAUAUUUUUUACUUUUUGAUAGCUUUUAAAAACUCAGAUAUGUGAUAAUCAGAGAUUUCAAGUUUACUUACAGUGUAAAUUAGGAAAAUUUUUAUAAAGAUUCCAUCCAGUAUUGAUCAAAAGUUUAAAUUGUAUGUCUUUUUAAGCAGCAGUUUGGCAAUGACAAUCAAAUUGAUACUAUGUAAAAGUUUUGAAAUGUUAUAGCUGGCUACUGGGGUUUUAUCUAUUCCAAUUCUUGAAAAUUUACCAAAUACAGGUUGGCUGUAAAAUCAUAACUGAGGUAUCUGUCAGUAAAUCAAAGAUUGCAAUGAUUAUAGCUUCUUUAACAUGAAUGUAAUUCUAACACUAAAAAAUUUCUAUAUGGAAUAUGUUUUGUAGUCCUAAAUUGAUAUUUUAUAUCAUUUUUCAAUGAACAACUAGCUGUUUACAGAGGUCUGUGCAUAUGUCUCUAGUUUUUCUAACUGAAAUAUUAAUGGUUAAUUAUAAAAAUAUGAAUUAUAUGUGGGGCUUGUCGUUCUGACAUUUAAUACUUCAGUGUUGUGGUAAUGGUGAUUAUUUAAAUAUACUGUUUGAAAUUGUAACACAUGAGUUAAAAUCAAAAGAUUGUAUAUGUACAUAUUUGUAUAUUACUACAUGACAAAAAUCUAGAAAGAAUAUGAUUCACAUGAAAAUUGUUUGGAGGGACAUGACAAAGUUUUAACAGUCCUGUGUAGUGAAUGGAGAAUAGAAGGACUACUUCUACUUUCUGUAUCUGAAAUUUUCAAAAGCUAUUUCAAAAUGAACAUUGAAACAAAAGGAAAUUUUAGAGACAACCACUUUGUGCCUGUCUUCAUCCUUGACAUUCAACAUCCUAGGAACAAUGGGCUGCUGUAUUCAACUUAUUGUUCUCAACAGCAUUAUGAGUGAUUUUUGAUUGAUCUCACAAAGAGCAUGUGAUUUAGACAUUAAUGCAGCAACUACCAUGAAACGGAGUAUUGGAUUACCUAAGGAAAGAAGCAGAAGAUGGAAUUUGAGGCAAUCAGGAUGAGUGCAAAACUUAUUUGCAGCUAACCUGCAAAUGGAAUCAUCAGGAACAUCCCUUUCUUACGGAGUCCCUUAAUUUACAACUUAACUGCAAACAUAGGAGAUGGUAGUUCCAAGAAGGAACAUUUUAUCGUCUUUGUUUUUAAUCUCAAGAAUGGUACCUGCCAUCAGUGAAUGACUUGUUGCACUGCUUUCAUUGAAGUGUUCUUCAUUCCCUCGCCAAUAUGAUUGUGAUGACUGAAAAAGGGAACCUGUGCUACUAUUUGUACCAUCAUCUUCACGAAAAUCAAAAAAUACUUUUUAUGAUGUAUGGAGACACUCUUCAUGUGUGUUUCAGUGGACAUUCCUUGCAGAUACAAAAAACUGAGAAAGCUCACUUUUGGAAAGUGACCUAAAAAGUGUCAUUGAAGUGAAUUUUCAGUAGGCACGAUGAUUGUUUUCAUGGUUGCUGUUGGAUCAUGUCUCAGGAGCUGGAAUGACAGACAUUACUGAACAAAGAAAUCAGGAUAGUGAAACUUAAAGAGUUUCAUCUCAGUGCUUUCAUAAGUAUGAAGUGCAUAUAUUUAUAAUUUUCACUAAUCACAGGAAUAUUCCCUGUCUAUACUUGCAUUUUUUUCUAUCAACUGACACUUACAAUUAUUUUUGCAAGUUGGAAAAAAAUGCAGUAUUAAUUUCAUUUGCAACAAACUUAAUAGAUUAAUUAGGAGAGAGUAGAUAUCUUUAAAAUUGAGUCUUCUAUCCAACUGCAAGUUAUAGCUGAGGUGGUACCAGUUUAAGAAGUGAGAACUUCUUCACUGACUGAUAUUUGCAUAUAAAUCCAAAUCAUUGUGCUUGUUUACUAUUUUUGUAGACGUCAUUCUUCAAAAGUGCUGCAUCUUUCAUAGUCAAGGAGGACAAAGACAUCUUUCCUGCAGGUGGUGACCGUGUGGAUAAUGGAAUUAUAGCCAAAUGGUGGUUUCAUCUACAGCAUCACCAAAAUGCUGUUGUUAUUGCUUCUUUCUGGGAUCUUCUUGCAUCUUUGCUUCUCAAGGGGCACAACUUUUAUAGAAGUAUGUCCAGGAAUAGAAGUGACCUGCUUUUUGGCAAGUAAUUGCCUGGAAUGUUUUUAUGUACUUCUCUGCACUCGCAAUACAUUUCAUGCUUCUCUCUAUUUUUGUAUAUUAACUCAUUGUAUUUCUUAAAUUUAUAUUUUACUUUUCGAAUGGAAGUGAGAUUUGUGUAUGGUAAAUAUAAUUAAUUCAACCCCAUGGACACGCUAGUCACUCUCCAGAUUAUGGCAAGUCUUUCUCAGAAGCAGAGGGCCUUGGUGUGCCAGUGAUUUGUUUUUCCUCCAUGUGUAAGAUACUUUUUUUCCUCAUUUGAAUCAGGAGCCCACAGUUUUUGGACAAGUCUCAAAUGAAAUCUUAAGCAUUUGUGUUGUCUGGACUAGACCUUCUGUAGUAUCCUUUUUGUUAGACCUAGUAUAUUUCAUUCCAGAUCAGGAUCUGAGAGUGACUAUAAUUCACCUCUUUCCAAGUACACAAACUUGGAUGACAUGACAACUGAGUGUGUAAGGGAGAGCGAGACCCUUGCACUGCCAUUUUGAGCCAUUGUGAUCUCAUCUUGUAGAACAUGUUGUAUAAUCAUUUUCUUGGUAUCACUAGUGUUCUUUGGGGCUGGAAUAAAAAUCUUAGGGUACCAAAGAGAUUUCCCCUUUAUCUACGUUACCUUGGUUUUCCUUUAUUUUCUGUUUAACCUAAGUGGGCUUAAUAUAAAAUAGUGGUUACUUGGUGUUUUAAUUGUCUACUUCUGUAACAUAAGCUGCACUGUCCACUGGGGAGCUGCUUACCGUAUUGCCCAACCUGUCUAGAUAGGUUUAUACAGGGGAGACAUUCAGUAAUAUUAACUCUCUAGACCAGUGUUAGCAAUAACAAACAAUUGUUGGAAUUUUAAGACUAUAUUAUCAAUCCCUUUGAUGUCAGUUAAUCCUACCAACACAAGAUUUAAUGGUUUAAAAAUCU